UUCCCACCGAAAAGAUCUCUCUCCCCCACCUCCAAUGGUAGCCCAGCUCUUCACGUCCUGUAAUCACUACGGAGAUACAAAUUGCUGCUUUAAUACGGUAAAUGAAGGUAUUGAUAGAGGCAGUAUACAGUCUCCAACAAUAACAAACACAGCAGCAGCCACCGCUGGCGGAGGAGUCGGUGGCACAUUCAGUGCCAUUCAGAUACAGCUGCUGUCCUCCACGACGGUCACUUUCUCCAUCCCU
rnacentral:lncRNA from 1 species